UGUUUAUCCCAGUGGCAGAAAAGAGGAUUAAUUAUUUCUAUGAAGCUAACACUUCUCUUUGUGUCAAAGUGCUGGGAAAGAGCACAUUUACCUUAAAAAAUGCAUGUUUUUGUAAUUUGUGCUUUUCAUUUCUAUAUUAGACAAUGGAUUCACUGAGAGCAGGAUCUGUUUGCUGAUUCUCUUGGAAAAGCCAAUCCAACAGUGACAAGCAUUUGGAAGUCUAACUUCUACUACAAAGGAAGUGCAGCAAACCUUAUGAAACUAGCCAAGAGAAACAAGGACAUCCUAGGAAGUGAAGGCUGUGUAAAACCCCGCAGAGUAUGUUUCCCAAACUUCUGCAGGAUUCAGACGUUUCAUGGAACAUAGACACUUCCUGGUGAGAGAUGAGAACAUUAUAUACAAACAACUCUGUUUGCACAGGGUCUCUAUCCUGGAAACCAGAACAAAUGCUAGAGGAAUCCAAAAGAACAUGGAUCCAAAGAAAUUGCAAGUUCCUAAGGAGUUCUUUGCCUGUGUAUGGUGGGAAUGAUGACAGAUGCUUUAAAAUACUUAAGAAAAUAAGACAAAAAGAAUAGUGUAGGAAAGCAGAAAACACAAAGGAGUCAAGAAAAAUUUUAGAAACAAAGAGCUUAGCAAAAGAAAUUUCCUCCCAGUACUUGUGGAAAGCACAAAAGAAGGGAUAUUAUGCAAAUAUAGAUAUUUAGAGGAAUAAAACAAAACAAGGCUUGGUUGUGUUGUUCUUCCAUCAUUCCCUCCCUCCUGCUGUGAAUCUUGCCAUGAGGAAUCUUGAAUGCUAAUGCCUCAGUAUUUGACACAGCAAGUGAUAAUUGCACAGUAGCCCAUUGAUUUCUGACUCACCCCUUUGCAGAUCUGCCCUGUAACUUUACAUUCAUUCCAAGCCUCAAGGAGUUGAGCCCAGCAACAGCAGGGCGCACCUUCACCCAUCAGAUAAUAAAGUUUAGUCAUGCAGUUUAAAAUAAAAUAAGCAAGAAGCAGAUGGCAAAAGGACAGAAUGCAGUGUAUUUAAUCUGUCCAUGUUUGCAAGGAAGCAAUUGUCUUCUUUGCUGCAGAAAACAGAGCAGGGCAAACAGGAAAGUUUCUCUUUCCUGGGCACAGAUGACACAGUUGACAUAGGUGAUCUGGAGUUUGGGGGUAAUUUGACCCUCAUCUUGUUGAAUUCUCUUUUUUGGAACCCAGAAACCAAGCUGGACUGGUUCUCUUGAUAGGCAGCCAAUGAAGGGAGGAGGGUUUAGUGGCCUGCUUAGUAAAAAGCUCUGAACAAAUCUACAAGGCUGGAGUGAGUUCUUUGCCUGGAAUUUAUUUUUAUUUCAGUUCAGAUGGUGUCUGAGUAUAUUUUAAUGAUGUAUCAAAGCCCAUUGCUGACUGCCAGGAUGGAAAGAUACAGUAGAAAUCUGUGUGUGAGAAAGAGGUGGAGGUGGGUGAUUAGAAAAUGAGAAACGUAACAAAGAGUAAAUAAGGACUAAAAGGUAUAAUAGAUAAUGUGAAAUAGGAAGAAAAGGGGCAAAGGGGAAGGGAAAGUGGGAAGGGUAGAGGAAAAGGAAAGAAAGGAAUGGAAUUACUAUGAGAAAAUGAAAAAAUGGUAACAAAGUCUUUGUAAAUAGGGAGGGAUGGAGGGAUUGAAGGGAGGGCAUGGGAAGCGGGAAAAAUAAGAACCAAGAGAGAUUAUGUAAAGGUGCAAAUAUCCAAUGAUGAAUGUCAUUAUAUUGUAUACCUAAAAUGUACCAAUAAAAUAAAAUUUUUUAAAAAAUGAGAAACGUUGAGGAAAUUGAAAGAGAUGUUAGAAAGCAACUGAAAAUGAAGCUCAUAUCUGUUAUUUAUUUUAUUAUAUUUAAUCAUAUGAUAGGGAAACACUCAUAAAAUC
rnacentral:lncRNA from 1 species